rnacentral:lncRNA from 1 species
CAACACAUUAAUCACCAGCUUCUGUGGCAGGCUGACUAGCAAUAGGCAUUGUUAACAAAACUUUUCUAAUAUGUCACUCUUCUCUAUGACAGCCUGUAAUCAAUCAUCGUGAUUGACAGUGCUGAUAGAUUACACUAUUUAUACUUUUUGUAAUGAAAGAUAGCGUUUCCACCUACUGUCAUUUCUAGGCUAGCAAUGGAGGGAUCGUUGAAUAGAAACAAACACAACAGCUCAGUCCUCAGCUCAGCAUUUGUGAAGUUAAAGUAAAGGCAGCGCUGAGGGUCCUUUUGUGGCAGACGUCAUAGGAGAACUAUUGUUAGGUAACCUGGUUAAAGCAGCACUCUUUCUGAACAUCGCAGGAUAUCGCUUUGAUGGUGACUUUGUCUCAUUUGCUGUCAGGUCAGGUUCAGGCAGGCACUGUUCCACAUAAAGAGCCUAUUACCUUGCAGAGUUUCGCUUAAGAAAGAAAGAAAGAAAGAAAGAAAGAAAGAAAGAAAGAAAAAGAAAGAAAGAAAGAAAGCUUUGUCUCUGUGAGUUUACACAAAUAUACAAGGUAUAUAUCCAUGCAUUAGUUGCAAACAAGGAAAAAACUGAGCAAGA